AGCAAGGGGAUGAUCUAAUUUGAUCUGAAUAUGAUGCUGAUAGCAAUUCAUCAUGUCCUUCAAAGCUCUCUGAUUGCU